rnacentral:rRNA from 1 species
AUUGAACGCUGGCGGCAUGCCUUACACAUGCAAGUCGAACGGUAACGCGGGGCAACCUGGCGACGAGUGGCGAACGGGUGAGUAAUGUAUCGGAACGUGCCCAGUUGUGGGGGAUAACUGCUCGAAAGAGCAGCUAAUACCGCAUACGACCCGAGGGUGAAAGCGGGGGAUCGCAAGACCUCGCGCAAUUGGAGCGGCCGAUAUCAGAUUAGGUAGUUGGUGAGGUAAAGGCUCACCAAGCCGACGAUCUGUAGCUGGUCUGAGAGGACGACCAGCCACACUGGGACGGAGACACGGCCCAGCGUCCGACGGGAGGCAGCAGUGGGGAAUUUUGGACAAUGGACGCAAGUCUGAUCCAGCCAUGCCGCGUGCGGGAAGAAGGCCUUCGGGUUGUAAACCGCUUUUGUCAGGGAAGAAACGCUCUGGGUUAAUACCUCGGGGUAAUGACGGUACCUGAAGAAUAAGCACCGGCUAACUACGUGCCAGCCGCCGCCGUAA